UGCAAAGACAGAAACAACAACGGCAACCACGAUCGCAAUUGUAAGAAGUCGCAGGGCGGAAGAGCUACGGAAGAAGAAACGCGACGAGGAAGGUCUCCAUCUCCUAACCCUCCUCCUCCAAUGUGCAGAAGCAGUCUCCGGCGACAACCUGGAAGAAGCCAAGAAGAUGUUAGUCGAAAUCUCGGAACUCUCAACACCCUACGGCACAUCCGCACAGCGUGUCGCUGCCUAUUUUUCCGAAGCAAUAACUGCUCGUAUUCUAAGCUCCUACCUUGAAAUCUACUCCCCCUUCCGUCUAAACCGCUGGCAGACGCAGAAACUUGCCGGAGCAUUCCAAGUGUUCAAUGGCAUUUGCCCGUUUAUAAAAUUCUCUCAUUUCACGGCGAACCAAGCUAUCCAAGAAGCG
rnacentral:lncRNA from 1 species